rnacentral:rRNA from 1 species
AUACAUGCAAGUCGAACGCGCAGCGAAAGGUGCUUGCACCUUUCAAGCGAGUGGCGAACGGGUGAGUAACACGUGGAUAACCUGCCUCAAGGCUGGGGAUAACAUUUGGAAACAGAUGCUAAUACCGAAUAAAACUUAGUAUCGCAUGAUACAAAGUUGAAAGGCGCUACGGCGUCACCUAGAGAUGGGUCCGCGGUGCAUUAGUUAGUUGGUGGGGUAAAGGCCUACCAAGACAAUGAUGCAUAGCCGAGUUGAGAGACUGAUCGGCCACAUUGGGACUGAGACACGGCCCAAACUCCUACGGGAGGCUGCAGUAGGGAAUCUUCCACAAUGGGCGAAAGCCUGAUGGAGCAACGCCGCGUGUGUGAUGAAGGCUUUAGGGUCGUAAAGCACUGUUGUAUGGGAAGAAAUGCUAGAAUAGGGAAUGAUUCUAGUUCGACGGUACCAUACCAGAAAGGGACGGCUAAAUACGUGCCAGCAGCCGCGGUAAUACGUAUGUCCCGAGCGUUAUCCGGAUUUAUUGGGCGUAAAGCGAGCGCAGACGGUUGAUUAAGUCUGAUGUGAAAGCCCGGAGCUCAACUCCGGAAUGGCAUUGGAAACUGGUUAACUUGAGUGUUGUAGAGGUAAGUGGAACUCCAUGUGUAGCGGUGGAAUGCGUAGAUAUAUGGAAGAACACCAGUGGCGAAGGCGGCUUACUGGACAACAACUGACGUUGAGGCUCGAAAGUGUGGGUAGCAAACAGGAUUAGAUA